ensembl:lncRNA
GUUAGAUGCAGUGUGCCUUCAGAGGAUAUAAGUGGAGCAUCUGCGGAGGAUAGGAGCACCUGCAGAGGACAUAGAACACCUGAAGACGAUGGGAGGGCUGUCAGAAUGCAUAGUUAGUGCGCCAGCAGAGGUUAGAUGUAGUGCAUCAUCAGAGGAUUGAGGUGGAGCAUUGGCAGAGGACGGGAACACCUACAGAGAUCAAGGAGUGCCUGCAGAUGACGGGAGCGUUGUCAGAAGAUAGAGGUAGUGCGCCGGCAGAGUUUAGAGGUAGUGCAUCAUCAGAGGAUAUACGUGAAGCGUCUGCGGAGGACAAGAGCAUCUGCGGCGAACAGAGACCACUUGCAGAUGAUGGGAGCGUGGUUAGGAGAUAGAGGUAGUGCGCCAGCAGAGGUUAGAGACCACUUGCAGAUGAUGGGAGCGUGGUUAGGAGAUAGAGGUAGUGCGCCAGCAGAGGUUAGAGGCAUUGUGCCAUCAGAGGAUCGAGGUGGAGGGUCUGCGAAGGAUGGGAGCACCUGCAGCGAACAGGGAGCACCUGCGGAGGACAGGAGCGCUGUCAGAAGACAUAGUGCGCCGGCAGAGGUUAGAUGUAGUGCAUCAUCAGAGGAUCGAGUUGGAGCGUCUGCGGAGGACAAGACCAUCUGUGGAGAACAGAGACUGCUUACAGAUGAUGGGAGCGUGGUUAGAAGAUAUAGGUAUUGUGCCAGCAGAGGUUAGAGGUAGUGUGCCAUCAGAGGAUCAAGGUGGAGUGUCUGCGGAGGAUCGGAGUACCUCAUGAGAACAGGGAGCACCUGCGGAGGACAGGAGUGCUGUCAGCAGGCAUAGUUAGUGCGCCGGCAGAGGUUAGAUGUAGUGUGCCUUCAGAGGAUAGAUGUAAAGCACCUGUGGUUGAUGGGGUUACCUGCAGAGAACACAGAACAUCUGUAGAUGAUGGCAGCACUGUCAGAAUGCAUAGUUAGUGCCCCGGCAGAGGAUAGAGGUAGUGCACUCUCAGAGGAUAGAGCUGGAACUUCUGCGGAGGAUGGGAGCACCUGCGGAGAACAGGAAGCGAUUGCCAAGGACAGGAGCACCAUCAGAAGACAGAGUUAGUGCGCCGGCAGAGGUUACAUGUAGUGCAUCAUCAGAGGAUCGAGUUGGAGCGUUUGCGGAGGACGAGAGCAUCUGCGGAGAACAGAGACUGCUUGCAGAUGAUGGGAGCGUGGUUAGAAGAUAGAGGUAGUGCGCCGGCAGAGGUUAGAGGUAGUGUGCCAUCAGAGGAUCGAGGUGGAGGGUCUGCGGAGGAUCGUAGCACCUGCGGAGAACAGGGAGCACCUCUGGAGGACGGGAGCACUGUCAGAAGGCAUAGUUAGUGCGCCGGCAGAGGUUAGAUGUAGUGCAUCAUCAGAGGAUAAAGGUGGAGCAUCUGCAGAGGACAGGAGCACCUGUGGAGAACAAGGAGCGCCUGCAGAUGAUGGGUGCGCUGUCAGAAGAAAGAGGUAGCAUGCUGGCAGAGGUUAGAGGUAGUGCUCUGUCACUGGAUCGACGUUGAGGGUCUGCGGAGGAUGGGAGCACCUGUGGUGAACAGGGAGUGACUGUGGAGGACAGGAGCGCCGUCAGAAGACAGAAUUAGUGCGCCGGCAGAGGUUAUAUGUAGUGUGCCAUCACGGGAUAGAGGUGGAGCAUCUGCCGAGGACAGGAGCACCUGCGGAAAACAGGGAGCACCUGCAGAUGACGGGAGCACCAUCUGAAGAUAGAGGUCGUGCGCCGUCGGAGGUUAGCAGUAGCAUCCUGGCAGAGGAUAAGAGUUAGCGCGCUAUCGGAGGUUAGAGGUAGUGUGCUGUUCGUGGAUAGAGGUAGAAUGUCAGUGGUUGAAAGGAGCACCUGUGGAGAACAGGGAGUGAUUGCAGAGGAUGGGAUCACCGUCAGAAAACAGAGUUUGUUUGCUGGCAGAGGUUAGAUGUAGUGCGCCAUCCGAUGAUAGAGGUGGAGUUUCUACGGAGUACGGGAGCACCUGCAGAGAACAAGGUGUGCCUGCAAAUGACAGGAGCGCGAUCGGAAGAUAGAGGUAGAAGAUAGUGCACAGGCGGAGGUUACCGGUAGUGCGCUGUCGGAGCAUCAAGGUGGAGGUUCUGUUUCGCCAUCCGAUGAUAGAGGUGGAGUUUCUACGGAGGAUGGGAGCACCUGCGUAGAACAGGGAGCGCCUGCGGACGAUGGGAGCACCGUAAGAAAAUAGAAGUAAUUCGCUGGCUGGGUUUUGCAAUAGCAUGCCUUCAGAAGAUUGAGGUGGAUUGCCUCCAGAGGACGGUGAGCGCCUGUAGAGGACAGGAGCACCUGUGGAGAACAGGGAUUGCCUGCACAGUAUGGGAACAUCAUCAGAGUGUAGAGGUAGUGCACCGGCAGAGGAUUGAGGAAGUGCGCCAGCAGAGGAAAGAGGUGCGGCACCUGUGGGGGAUGGGAGCACCGUCAGAAGAUUGAGGUAGCACGCCAGCGGAGGUUAGAGGUAGCUUGCCAUUGGAGGAUGGAUGUAGUGCACCGGCCGAGGUUGGAUGUAGUGUUCUGUCAGAUGAUAGAGGUGGAGUGCCUGUGGAGGACAGCGAGUGCCUGCAGAGGACGAGAGCACCUGAGGAAAACAGGAAGCACCUGCGGAGGACUGGAGCGCCGUUAGAAGAUAGAGGUAUCUCGCUGGCUGAGUUUAGUGGUAACACACCAGCAACGGAUAGACGUAGUGUGCCGCCAGUGGAUAGAGGUAGAGCGCCAGCAGAAGAUAGGAGGUAGGACACUGGUGGAGGUUACAGAUAGUGCGCCGUCGGAGGAUAGAUGUGGAGCAUUUGCGGAGGAUGGGAGUAGCUGAGGAGAACAGGGAGUGCCGGCGGAUGACAGGAGCACUGUCAGAAGAUAGAGGUAGCGCGCCAUUGGAUGAUAGUGAUGGAGCAUCUGCGGAGGAUGGGAGCACCUGCGGAGAACAGGGAACGUCUGCAGAGAAUGGGAGCACCGUCAGACGAUAGAGGUAGCGCGUCAGUGGAGUUUAGAGAUAGCGCGCUUCCAGAAGACAGAGGUGGAGCACCUGCUGAGGGCGGCAAGCACCUGUAGAGGACGGGAGCACCUGCGGAGAAUAGGGAGCGCCUGCCGAGGACAGAGCACCGUCAGAAGAUAGAGGUAGCGCGCCAGCAGAGGAUAAGAGGUAGCACCCUGGCGGAGGUUACAGGUUGUGUGCCAUUGGAGGAUAGAUGUGGAGCACCAGCAGAGGACAGCGAGCGCCUGCAGAGGACGGGAGCAUCUGCAGAGAACAGGGAGCACCUGCGGCGGACGGGAGCGCCAUCGGAGUAUAGAUGCAACGCGCCGGCGGAGAUUAGAGGAAGCACACCUGCGGAGGUUACUAGCGCGCUGUCAGAGGAUAGAAGUGGAGUGCCAUUGGAGGACAGCGAGCACCUGCGGAGGACAGGAGCGCCAGCAGAAGAUAGAGGAAGUGCCACAUGCGCUUUCCCUCAUCCUAAUUUCUUUCUAUUAUUUUUUUCAUUAAAUAUAUAUUUCUCAAAUCAUU